rnacentral:rRNA from 1 species
AGUGAACGCUGGCGGUAGGCCUAACACAUGCAAGUCGAACGGCAGCACAGUAAGAGCUUGCUCUUACGGGUGGCGAGUGGCGGACGGGUGAGUAAUACAUCGGAAUCUACUUUUUCGUGGGUGAUAACGUAGGGAAACUUACGCUAAUACCGCAUACGACCUACGGGUGAAAGCAGGGGAUCUUCGGACCUUGCGCGAUUGAAUGAGCCGAUGUCGGAUUAGCUAGUUGGCGGGGUAAAGGCCCACCAAGGCGACGAUCCGUAGCUGGUCUGAGAGGAUGAUCAGACACACGGGAACUGAGACACGGUCCAGACUCCUAAGGGAGGCAGCAGUGGGGAAUAUUGGACAAGGGGCGAAAGCCUGAUCCAGCAAUACCGCGUGGGUGAAGAAGGCCUUCGGGUUGGAAAGCCCUUUUGUUGGGAAAGAAAAGCAGCAGGUUAAUACCCCGCUGUUAUGACGGUACCCAAAGAAUAAGCACCGGCUAACUUCGUG